rnacentral:lncRNA from 1 species
CCCAUACACUCACCAACAAUUACACAUAAUCAUUCUUAGAUCCUAGACAUUAUUGUUAUCAUUAGUUCUAAACAUUGCUCUGGGUGGUUGGAUCAAAGGUGACAAAUUUCCAGGCCACAUGGAAACAGGACAUUUGCACAUCUCCAUUUCUAGGGAGGAGCAGGGUAGAGCUCUGUAGUAUUAGUUGCCUCCUUCUUGCCCUGUAGCCCCUCCCAUACUGCCUUCCACCUAUUCCUUCUCCAAGCACCUUUGCCCCAGGGCUGCCUAGCAGCAGCUAACUCAGAGGAACUCAGAGGGAACCAGAAGCACAGGAUCAAAUGUGUAGCUCUUGUGGAGGAAGUGAGAGAAAUGUUUGAUUCCACUAGGCUAAGAAGAGAGACGGUGACAGACCAAGUAGAUUCAGAGGGAAAGGGCAGAGGAGAGGGCACACAACAGGUCUGCUCAGCAGCAGGCAGGUGGCUGGCCGUGCUAAGAGAACAUGCGUAUGUAUGACAUGAAUGGAGGUUGUCCCCCUCCCCAAAUUCCCAGCAUCCCACAACUUUUCUCAGUCCCAGAGGCGUGGAUUCCUGACUGACUACAGUCCCUGUGGUGACUCUCUCGCCUGAGUUCGCUGCUAAGAGGCUGGUGCUGAUAUUUGGAGGCACUCCUUCCUCUCUCCCACCGCCACCUCUACAUAGAGCCCAGGACAUCAUAGAGGUGAUUUCCACUCUCCCAACCCCUGCGCUCCACACAUCAACCCCCAGCACAAGGGUACUCUAGGACAGGGACCAAGAAGCCUACUGAGCCUUGGGGAUCUGCACCCUCUUUUCUAGCCAUACCCUGCAUCCUGACAGUAACCAUCUCCUUAGUGGGUGAUAAUCUCUCAGGACUUACCAUACUAAUUUGGGAUGUGAUGGCAGCAUCCUCAUCUUGUUUCCUAUGUUAAAGGGAACGCUUCUAAAGCUUCUCCUCUACUAGGAAAAUCUUGGCCCAGUUGGCGUUUGGUUUGUCCUGUCUUGAAAGAAUGUCUCCCACCACCUUCCUGGGGGCUGUCUUGGACUUUCAGUUUCCUGCCUGAGAAAUGGACUCUUCCCUGCUGAUGAUGAUUAACAGUUUGAGUUGCAACUCCUUCUGGACAUACCAAGUAUCUGUGCCCAGGGCUUAGCCUUGGCCAGGCCACCAGAGAAAAAAAAAUACAACAACAAUAAAAGGAGGGAUGUAUUAUUUCCCUUCUUUGCUUAUCAGGAAGCCAGUGACUUUUAGUAUCAUGAGAAGUGAUCUUUGUUUCAUUUAAUGGGACUUGAAGUAGCCCGCAAGAGAAAUUGUUGACAUGAUUCUAAUAACAGUGGGGACAUGUGGUGGGAAAAAUUCUAAAGAUAGUCCCCCAAGAUACCUGUUCCCUGGCUAUUCAAUCAUACAUUGAUCUAUAUACUGGCAUAAAGACAUUUUUUCAGAUGUAAAUUUUCAAGUCAGUUGACUUUAAGAUACGGAGAUUAUCUGAGCUGGUGUUUUCUCUGGCUGGUAGCGGAAGAGAAUGUCAAAGAGAUUCAUAGCAAGAGGAGGAUUUGAUGCACUCUUGCUGGCUUUGGAGAUGAAGGGGCUCAUGUGCAAGAACCAAAGAGUGACUUCUAGAAGCUGAGAGCAGCCCUCAACUGACACCCAGCCAGGAAACUGUGACCUCAGUCCUAAAACUGCAAGGAACUACACUGCACCAACAACCUGAAUGUACUUGGCAGUAGAUUCUCCCCUAGAAACUCAGAUGACAACUCAGCUCAGCACAUAUCUUGAUUUGCGAGACCUCAAGAAGAGGACUCAGUUAAGCCACACCCAGAUUACUGACACAUGGGAACUAUGAGAGAAUAAAUGGGUGUCAUUUACAGCCGCUAAAUUUGUUUCACUACAGUAGAAAACUAAUGCAGGACAUCUAAUUGGCACUCCCAAAGUGUACUUCCAAAGCCUACAUCUCAGCCCUCUGCAUGCAUGAAACCAAGGUGGGCACACGAAGUUCCUGCUCCCCUCUCCAGCCCUGAGCAGUGUCACCGACUUUUGCUAAUGGGCUGAGGCUUCCGUGUGAUCUUCUGGUUGCUGAGCUACUGGAAAGAGACCCACUUGACUUGCCCAAAGCUGGAACUUCUUUCAGGCUAAUAGGAACAAUCCCUGCUAUUUUCAGAGAGCUGUGCACAAAAUGCUUCCAUUGUCAUUGUUUCACAGAGGUCUCACAGAGACCACCCCAGCUGAGCGGGUUUCUCUCUUGAUAGAAACAAUUAUAUACUCAUUUCCUAGAUGAAAACAAAAUGAGGCCCAAAGAGGGCAGAUGGUUGGCUCAAGGUCACAGAGCAAGCAUGUUAAAAAACUCCUGCUAUAAAACAUAACUUACAUUGGGUGACUAUUGGUGAAUUCCUCAGCUGGUGAUUUGCAAGGCACUGACCUUUUGCAGCUCUAAGCAGUCUACUGACAAAACCUGGUCAUCCAGGCUCUUUCUCCUCAUGUUUGUCUGCACUUAAUGAGUGGAGAUGCGAGGAUGCCUAUGAGCCGAGAUGUAUCUGUUUAACUUCUACAGUCACAGUGAGCCCCAUAUUGCCCCCUUGGCUUGCAAGGCUCUUCGCCCAGCUUGCCACAUGGCUGUCUCUCUCACUUCCUUCAGAGCUUUGCUCAGUGGGGCCUUCUAUAACCAUCCUGUCUAAAAUUGUAAUGCCCCUCCAACCCUACCUCAUGCUUUAUUUUUUUCUCUAUUGCAAGUACAUCUGAUAUUCCACAUGUUUUUAUUUCUUUGUCAUCUAUCUUCAUGAGAACAGGGAUUUUUGUGUGUUUUGUUGACUGCUUUAUCACCG